GCCGAUGAGGACCGUUAGCCACGCUGAGGAUGAUGAUAAGAGGGUUAGCCGAGG
rfam:Pyrococcus abyssi GE5 complete genome; segment 6/6